rnacentral:rRNA from 1 species
GCUCAGAUUGAACGCUGGCGGCAGGCCUAACACAUGCAAGUCGAACGGUAACAGGAAUCAGCUUGCUGAUUCGCUGACGAGUGGCGGACGGGUGAGUAAUGUCUGGGAAACUGCCUGAUGGAGGGGGAUAACUACUGGAAACGGUAGCUAAUACCGCAUAAUGUCGCAAGACCAAAGAGGGGGACCUUCGGGCCUCUUGCCAUCGGAUGUGCCCAGAUGGGAUUAGCUUGUUGGUGGGGUAACGGCUCACCAAGGCGACGAUCCCUAGCUGGUCUGAGAGGAUGACCAGCCACACUGGAACUGAGACACGGUCCAGACUCCUACGGGAGGCAGCAGUGGGGAAUAUUGCACAAUGGGCGCAAGCCUGAUGCAGCCAUGCCGCGUGUAUGAAGAAGGCCUUCGGGUUGUAAAGUACUUUCAGCGGGGAGGAAGGGAGUAAAGUUAAUACCUUUGCUCAUUGACGUUAUCCGCAGAAGAAGCACCGGCUAACUCCGUGCCAGCAGCCGCGGUAAUACGGAGGGUGCAAGCGUUAAUCGGAAUUACUGGGCGUAAAGCGCACGCAGGCGGUUUGUUAAGUCAGAUGUGAAAUCCCCGGGCUCAACCUGGGAACUGCAUCUGAUACUGGCAAGCUUGAGUCUCGUAGAGGGGGGUAGAAUUCCAGGUGUAGCGGUGAAAUGCGUAGAGAUCUGGAGGAAUACCGGUGGCGAAGGCGGCCCCCUGGACGAAGACUGACGCUCAGGUGCGAAAGCGUGGGGAGCAAACAGGAUUAGAUACCCUGGUAGUCCACGCCGUAAACGAUGUCGACUUGGAGGUUGUGCCCUUGAGGCGUGGCUUCCGGAGCUAACGCGUUAAGUCGACCGCCUGGGGAGUACGGCCGCAAGGUUAAAACUCAAAUGAAUUGACGGGGGCCCGCACAAGCGGUGGAGCAUGUGGUUUAAUUCGAUGCAACGCGAAGAACCUUACCUGGUCUUGACAUCCACGGAAGUUUUCAGAGAUGAGAAUGUGCCUUCGGGAACCGUGAGACAGGUGCUGCAUGGCUGUCGUCAGCUCGUGUUGUGAAAUGUUGGGUUAAGUCCCGCAACGAGCGCAACCCUUAUCCUUUGUUGCCAGCGGUCCGGCCGGGAACUCAAAGGAGACUGCCAGUGAUAAACUGGAGGAAGGUGGGGACGACGUCAAGUCAUCAUGGCCCUUACGACCAGGGCUACACACGUGCUACAAUGGCGCAUACAAAGAGAAGCGACCUCGCGAGAGCAAGCGGACCUCAUAAAGUGCGUCGUAGUCCGGAUUGGAGUCUGCAACUCGACUCCAUGAAGUCGGAAUCGCUAGUAAUCGUGGAUCAGAAUGCCACGGUGAAUACGUUCCCGGGCCUUGUACACACCGCCCGUCACACCAUGGGAGUGGGUUGCAAAAGAAGUAGGUAGCUUAACCUUUGGGAGGGCGCUUACCACUUUGUGAUUCAUGACUGGGGUGAAGUCGUAACAAGGUAACCGUAGGGGAACCUGCGGUUGGAUCACCUCCUUACCUUAAAGAAGC